CAGCCAUAAAUCGAUGGUUUUUCAAUCAAUGUAUUUUCGCGGUCAACCAUUCUUCAACUGUUUAUCAACAUUGGUGUCAUCACCAGAUCAACCAGAUAUAGAUGCUAAAUCAACCACAGUAGGCGAUCAUAAAUCAACGUUGUUUCCAUGUCAUAGUCAUCAACAUCAACUGUAAUAAUAAUGAUAAUAAUAAUAAUAAUAAUAAUAAUAAUAAUAAAUACAGCCUACCCCAAGCUAAAUAUGAUGGAAUGCAUUAGUAUAUUCCAUACUAUAUAAUACUACUAUAUAACUAUACAAUAAACUGAGCCACAGGAGUUGUCUGAUGAUGAGAAUUUCUGUAUCAUCUGCAUGGAGCACUUCAAUAACUCAAAACCAAAAGAAACCAGGGCUAAGUACAUGGCAUGUCAUCUGUGGGCCCAUGAAGCAAAGAAGCAUGAAGCCAUUCAGUCAGUGUAUGUUAUCACAUUUUGUUCGGUUUCAUUAUUACAAAAUUUUAGUGUUAGACAGCACACACUCAUGUUUGAUUGUUAAAGGUAGUGCACAGCUGAACCUUUUGUACUGUUUUAUUAUCAAUGCUCAGAUGUUAGUGUAGUUUAAGUCCUAUACUCCACAGAAUCACAGCAGUUUAAUUUAAAUGUUUUGCAUAAAAAGCUUUCAAUAUCUUGAGUCAUUGUCAUGGUCCUUAUUUAAUAAUGUUACAUUUCGCCCCAAGACUAUGGGGUCAAUUGUAACAUUUCACUCCUUUUAUUUGAGAUCAAGCCAUGCAUUUUCUGUUCAUAUUGCACAGGCAUUUUCUUGGCCAUUUAUUAGCAGGCACUUGAAGCUAGUUUGUAUAGUAGUUUGAACACACCGGGUUAAAAGAGCACAAAGCUUGAGACAGAAAUGCCAAAAAUGUUACAUCUGUCUCCGGUCUCCCCUACCAUCUAUAUUGCAAUGAUGAUUCAAUAUUUAUUUAUUGUUGAAAAAAUGAUAUAAACCAUUCUGACGAUUCUGAUGAAAUAUCAACAUUUAUUCAAUGUUGUCUUGCAUGCAGUCCCUUGUCAACCAUAAAUCAAUGGUUUAUCAAUCAAUGUAUUUUCGAGGUCAACCAUUCUUCAACUGUGUAUCAACACUGGUGUCAUCGCCAGAUCAACCAGAUAUAGAUGCUAAAUCAACCACAGUAGGCGAUCAUAAAUCAACGUUGUUUCCAUGUCAUAGUCAUCAACAUCAGGUACCAUCUAUAUUGCAAUGAUGAUUCAAUGUUGAAUUAUGGUUGAAAAAUUGAUAUCAACCAUUCUGACGGUUCUGAUGAAAUAUCAACAUUUAUUCAAUGUCGUCUUGCUGUCUGGGCAGUUUAUUUUUUAAGAAGUUCAUCUUCAGCUAUGAAGGUUAUUAGCUAACUCGAUUGAGAUCUUCUACGAUGUAAAUGUGGCGCUCAUAAAAUAGUGUGACCACAGUUAUGUGAUAAAAAUUUAAGAUAUUUACUAAGUUCAUUAUUUUGUUUAGUAUGUACAUGUAUGUUGAUAAUAAUUGGAUCUAAAUUAAUUGCCGUUGUACUACUAAAGAUGAAAGAAUGGCACUUCUGUGUAGGCAGCAGUGAGGCGGAACCUUUGUUUGUUCUGGUUGCACCUGGGACCGGUGUGAGGAGACACACCCCGUGCUCUCUUCAGAAGCAAUCUGGAGAGAAACGCGGUGCAGUGAGACUUCAUUGUUCCUGCUUUAUUCACCUGAUACAGGGCCCCUCCCUGAACCACCAUUAUUGUCUCUUGGUAAAGGACUGAAAAGGCUCAGACUGCAACCACUGAUAUCCUCAAUGCUGCAUGGCUUGUCUGAGCUCUCCAUGGUUGACUUCAGGUUCAGACCUGUGCCAAGAGGUUCACCCCUAUCAUACCAGUGUCCUCCAGUUGUAGCCGUACCCACAAGUCAUGUAUAACACCCAGAUACACCCGUAUUCUCUGAACUGCCAUUAGAAGGCUCAACAUUCCCUGCUGUUUUUCCAAACUUUGAGCCAAAUUUGCAACAUGUCCUCCAUCUAGAAGAACCGCUGCAAAAUCUCACAUUGAUAAAGGUUAACUAACAGAGAGUGAUAACAAUAGAAUACAAUAUGCAUUUUCAUAAAUCAACCACUACACGUUCUGUAGUGUGUUGAUAACUCAUUGUCUUCAUGAAUGCAUUUUCUGCAUAGAUGGAAUUGUCCGGAUCACCGAAAACCUACACUGAUGUAUCUAUGCAUUCUCUAAAAUGAACCUCGGUGCCUUACUAAAAUGAACAGGUCUACGUAGCAAAACAAACAGGGAAUUUACAACGUGUUUUAGACUUGUAACAAUCUCUCACUCCUGUGUUUUCUGUAUUUUCGGAGUUGCAAUAGCCUGACCUAAAAAGGAAAAACAACAAACAAAAGAGGUUAUUGUGUAGGCAACAGCUUUUUUUUACUUGUUAAGUCAUGACUGAGCAAACUGAAAGUUCAGUAUGCCAAAUCUCCAUUAGGAAGCACACAUACUUGUAAGCCUUAAACAUGUGAUGUGGUCAUUGAUCAAGCUGUAAUACAUUAAUGACAUUAAUUAAAAUGUAUUGUUUUUUCUACCGACAACAGCAAAACCGAAAGACGUCUCAACUAGAUCGUCGGCAAUAAGUUCCUCAUCAGAGGACGAAAGGAAGAAGAAGAAGAAGCCCAAGAAAAAGAAGAAGCAGAAAGCAAAAAAGAAAAGGUCUAAAAAGUAGAUUAUCUAUGUGAAUGAACAAAUAUUGUUUAUAGUUCUAAUUUUUAGUGGAGUUUGUGUGGCAUUUUUGUUUUGGGGAAUUGGGCACAAUUACGUUUUUGUGAAAUUUAGCAGUACUUUUGUAUAUAGUAGUUGAAUAUUAUUUAUAUAGUGGUUUAGCUUAUGUAGUACUUUCCAAUAGUUAGUUUAAAUAAAUAGAAUAUUUUUUCUUAUAAGUAAGAGUUAUCAAUAAUGCAUAAUGUUUUUAUUAUUUUGCUCUGGUUUGUGAAUUGGUUAUUUUCAAAAUAAAUUUAUUUAAUAAUGGAAACAAUGUUACAGAACCCUUUGUACUUACAGACAGGUCAUGGGUACUUAGAGUGUAAGUACUUGGUACCUGCAUAGGUAGGGAAGGUAGUUACAGGCAAAGUACUCAAUAGUUGCACAGUAAGUGAAGCCAACAAGUGUUCACUUUAUGAUACAGCCCGGUUCCCAGUUGUUGACCAGUAGUUACAGGUAAGUACUCAGUAGUUAGACAGUAAGUGAAGCCAACAAGUGUUCACUUUAUAAUACAGCCCGGUUCCCAGUUGUUGACCAGUAGUUGCAGGUAAAGUGCUGGGUUGUUGCAGUGGAAGUACUGGAUAGUUACACAGUAAGGAAAGACAAGGGUGAUCUUAAGGGCCGGUUAACUUUCAAAGGUGAAUUGGUGUCUCUGAAAAAUAAAGAUAUUAAAUAAAUAUGUUUUGUACGUC